UACGGAGGGAGCUAGCGUUGUUCGGAAUUACUGGGCGUAAAGCGCACGUAGGCGGCUUUGUAAGUUAGAGGUGAAAGCCCGGGGCUCAACCCCGGAAUUGCCUUUAAGACUGCAUCGCUUGAAUCCGGGAGAGGUGAGUGGAAUUCCGAGUGUAGAGGUGAAAUUCGUAGAUAUUCGGAAGAACACCAGUGGCGAAGGCGGCUCACUGGACCGGCAUUGACGCUGAGGUGCGAAAGGCGUGGGGAGCAAACAGGAUUGAAAU
rnacentral:rRNA from 1 species